UUAAACCAAAGUGGAUCCGAUCCAAACUGAACUGAACCUGAUCCCGUCUGAACCAAAUCAUAAAGGAUUCGACUUGAACCGAAGUGGUUCCGAUCCAAACUGAACCGAACCGAAACCGCUCUGAACCAAAUCAUAAGGAAUUUAACUUGAACCGAAGUGGAUCCAAUCCAAACUGAACCGAACCGGAUCCAAUCUGAAGCAAAUCAUAAGGGAUUCGACUUGAACCGAAGUGGAUCAGAUCCAAACUGAAUCGGACCGGAUCCCGUCUGAACCAAAUUAUAAAGGAUUCAACUUGAACCGAAGCGGAUCCUAUCCAAACUGAACCGAACCAAAUCCUGUCUGAACCAAAUCAUAAGGGAUUCGACUUGAACCGAAGUGAAUCUGAUCUGAACUAAACCAAAUCGGAUCCCGUCUGAGCCAAAUCAUAAAGGAUUCGACUUAACCGAAGUGGAUCCGAUCGAGACUGAACCGAACCGAAUCCCGUCUGAACCAAAUCAUAAGAGAUUCGACUGAACCGAAGUGGAUCCGAUCCAAACUGAACCGAACCAGAUCCGAUCUGAACCAAAUCAUAAAGGAUUCGACUUAAAUCGGAAUGAAUUCGAAUAGAAUCAAACUGUAAAGGAUUCAACUUGAACUGAAGUAGGUUUGAUCCGAACCGAAACAUACAGGAUUUGACUUGAACCGAAGUGGAUCCAGUCCGAACGAACCAUAAAAGAUUCAACUUGAACCAAAGUGGAUCCGAUCUGAACCGAACUACAAAGAAUUCGACUUGAACCGAAGUGGAUCUGAUUAGAACCGAACCAUAGAAGUCGACUAGAACUGAAGUGGAUCCGAUUCAAACCGAACCAUAGAAGCUUCAACUCGAACCGAAGUUGGUUAGAUUUGAGCCGAACCAUAGACGAUUCAACUCGAACCGAAGUCAAAGUGGAUCUGAUUCGAACUGAACCAUAGAAGAUUCAACUCGAACCGAAGUUGAUUCGAUUCGAACCGAACUAUAGAAGACUCAACUGGAACCGAAGUGGAUCCAAUCUGAACCGAACUACAUGAAGAUCGAACUAAACCAAAUCAAACCACAAGUCGGGUUCAACUAAAACAGAUGUAUGGAAGAUCCGAGCCGAGCUAACUUGAGCCGAACUACUUCAACUUGAUUCGAAGUCGGUUCAAACCAAGCAAAAUUAUAAGAGGGUCCAAAUUGAGCCAAACCAUAAGGGCUUGACAUAAAUUAAAUUCAAAGAAUCUCGAACUACACAUAUGGGUUCGACCUAAACCGAGUCUUAACGGGUCUUGAACCAAGGCAUACCCAAACCAACCUAAGGCGGCUCAACCCAAAUCAAACACAAAAGGUUCAAGCCAACUCAACCUGAAUCCAACCUAAGCAAUAGUCCAAUCCAUUUCGGACUAUAAAUAAAAUCCAAAGUUCACAAAUAAAAUUCGAAAACCCAAAGCCCACAAAUAAAACCUAAAACCCAAAGUCCAUAAAUAAAAUCCCAAAACCCAAAGUCUACAAAUAAAAUCCAAAACCCAAUGUCCAUAAAUAAAACCCAAAACCUAAUGUCCACAAAGAAAAUCCAAAAUCCAAAGUUCACAAAAACUCUCAAAUCCAAAUGACCGCAAAGUCGUUAAAACUAACCAACCAAAUCCAAACGACCGCAAAGUCGCUAAACUAAACAACUAAUCAAACCGACCGCCAUGUCGUUAAACUGAGAUACGCAACUCAAGUCGACCACCAUGUCGUUAAACUGAGCAACAUGACUAAAAUCGACCGCCAUGCUACUAAAUCGAGUAUCUCAAUUUCAAUCGACCGCCAUGUCACUAAAUUGAGCAAAUCAAAUUCAGAUAUGACCAUCAAGUUGUUAAACUGGAUAACAACCGUCAAGUCAAUAAA
rnacentral:lncRNA from 1 species